rnacentral:misc_RNA from 1 species
UCCGGUGAGCGUGUGGUCCGUCUGUUUUUCCGAGCGCGAGACACCGACAUUGCUAGACACUUCGCGUUUCCCCGUGCCUGGCGUGGCGUGUCGCAGCACCCGAACGGAAAUGCAGUUCUACAAUAAGAAGCUGCUGUCACCGGGUCAGCUGAAGAGGCUCAGCGAGCACAAGUACAGCUGCACGACCAACAGUCUGCUGGACGCGCUCCUGCAGCCCUGGUGGGACUGGCUAGUCAGCAAGGUUCCGCUCUGGCUCGCGCCCAAUCUCAUCACCGUACUCGGCCUCAUCGUCAACGUCAUCACCACCUUGAUCCUUGUCUAUUACAGCCCGGACGCGAAAGCUGAGGCACCAAGGUGGGCAUGUUUUCUAUGUGCGCUUGGUCUAUUUGUGUACCAGAGUUUAGAUGCUAUCGAUGGUAAGCAGGCUAGGAGAACUGGUACAUCGACACCAUUGGGUGAACUGUUCGAUCAUGGAUGUGAUUCGAUAUCGACAGUAUUUGUUGCUCUGUCAGCGUGUAUAGCGGUACAGUUGGGCUACUAUCCAACAUGGAUGUUUUUCCAGUGUUUCUGUGCAAUGACGCUUUUCUAUUGUGCUCAUUGGCAAACCUAUGUUUCAGGUUCUUUGAGAUUCGGUAAAGUUGAUGUAACGGAAGCACAAUUCACGAUCAUAGGCAUUCACCUGAUCUCUGCGCUUUUCGGCCCACAGAUCUGGAUGGUAGAGAUACCAUUCUUAGAUGGUUUUAUGUUUAAGUAUUUAUUAGGAGUUAUGACAGUGGUGUGUGCACUGGCAAAUUUGUAUUCCAUAUUUUCGGUGAUUUUCACCGGAGGAGUGGGCAAGAAUGGUUCCACUGUGGCUAUUCCUGUGCUCGGUGUAGGCACGCUCAGUAACUACGUAGCAGUGCUCUUUUAUGCAGGCUACGUAUACGUGUUCCUUGAAUUCUGUAAAGUCUUUGAAUCUGGUGGGAUUGGAAAAAACGGUUCCACGAUUGCAUUGCCAUACACUGGCACAGAGGUGAAGGUGUUUCCGUUAUGGGCUGCUGUGGGCAUCGCUAUUUUACUUGCACAGAGCAGCAUAUCCGUCAUUCUUGCCGGUGGUGUCGGAAAAAAUGGCUCCACCGUUGCAGGAACAUCUGUUUUAUCGCCAAUCAUUCCAUUUGGCUUCGUGGUAGUACCAGCUUACACGAUAUAUAGAAAAAGUGUUGAACAUGUCUACGAAAAUCAUCCAGCCUUGUACAUACUUGCGUUCGGAAUGGUCGCGGCCAAAGUUACCAAUAAACUAGUGGUUGCACAUAUGACCAAAAAUGAAAUGCAAUAUUUUGAUAGCUCAUUGAUUGGUCCAGCUAUGCUGUUCCUCAAUCAAUAUUUCAACUUCUUCAUCAAGGAAUACUACGUUCUUUGGCUGUGUUUCAUCUGGGUCACUGUGGAUCUUCUCCGGUAUAGUGCUCAGGUGUGUCUUGAGAUAUGCGAUCACAUGAAGAUCAAGCUAUUCAGGAUACCGCUACACGAUCAUCAUUCAGGCAGCAUCCAGGGUUCUAACACCGAGAAAAAUGGUACUAAUAGGUCACAACGUAAUAGAUUGCAUAAGAAACAUCACUAGAGCCAGCUGGUGAUAAUGAAUGUCCUGUAUGAUUCGUCUGAUGCGUGUGUAAAGAAGUAAUAUGACAAGUUCACAUGAUGGUGGAGGAAGAGCCGCUAUUAAUCGAGGAACAUCAUCACGGAUCCGAUACAGCCGUCGAUCUCUGAUAAUAGUGAUAAAUGUUAUUGUUACUUAGCGACACAUGCCACGACUUAAAACGUAACAACGUGUUAAUCGAGAUAGAUGUACAGACGAAAUAGCAAAGGCCCGCUGAUUUCGGAUCGAGACGACCGAAUCAAUGUUGCGAACACAUUGCGGAAGAGUACAUAGUAAUGCAUGCAGAAUGAUUUAUCCGUUUAAUGCAUGGUGUAUCUUAUAUACAUAAGAAAUACUCGUGCUGGCGCGCGAAAAAGGAAAGGAAUAUCUCCCGCGCCCGUUUUUAUAUCGAUGUUUUGUACGUUAUUUCGAUACAUACAUACGUGGAAUUACUCAUACAUGUAUACUUUUUCCUGGAAGUAUAUAGAAUUUUCCACGAAGACAGUACAAAAUGCGCAAGAGCAUUAGCAAUAUCAGCUAGCUGUUGAUGACAGUGGUGCCGACGUAAUGUUUAUAACGACAAUUGUAUCGAAUUGCAUUUACCGGGUAAGGCUACUUCUCGCUAUGCGUUUGCGCUUGUUAGAUUAUUAACCACGAUUGUGCAAGAGUAUGAGAAAAUAUAUUUUGCGACGUCGCACUUCCGCGCGUAAUCAAGCCUUUCGCGCGAUAUUGUUGACAGUGAACUUGAAAGAUGUUCAUAACGAAUUAGUAGGAUAAUCAAAUUUAAAUUUAACGAAUUAUUGUGCUAAUUUUCAACAUCAACGCGAGGAUCUUUCUGACUUCUGCGAUGAAUCAACACUCUUAAAAUGCUCUUGAAAGAUUGCUCGUGAAAAGGAUCUUUCGAUGAAAUACUUAAAACGCUAUUUUGUUUAACGUUAAACACUAAACUGUUAGUUUAGUACGAUUACUCGUAAUUAUUCAGGAUUAUUUGUCUUUUAGUGAGUGAUAUAAAGAUAGAUAGCUGUUAGAAUCAGAUAUAUAUAGAUAUAUAUUUUAUACAGUAACAUUAAUUAAUACUAACUCUGAGGAGAAACAAUUUCGUAAGUUCGCAGAAAAUUGUUGUGUACACAUUUAUAAAGUAACAAAGUCAACGAGUACUGCAAUAUUAUGAAUGUUAAUUACAAUUUCUAUUUCUUUCGUGAAUCUGCAUUCGAUGUUGUUUACACAUACUUGAUUCUCUUAUCUACACAAAACUGUCUAGCAGUCAAUAUAUUAGAACUUGAUUUAAUUCUCACGAAUAUAUUUGAGAUUAUCUUCUCUUAGGUAAUGAUCCGCGAUCUAACAUGGUGUUCGCAAUAGCGUAAUAUAAUUUGAUAUCACGCUGUUAAUAUAUAAGUAUUAUGAUUAUAUACUUCUAUCGUGACGAUCGUAAUUUAUUAAUUAUAAUUGGUAUGCUGUUUAUAAUAAAAUUUAUACGAACGCAAAA